rnacentral:lncRNA from 1 species
CUUAAUAAUUUCUUUUAAAAGGUAAUAAAUCAACAAGAAAAUUUGACUUCAUCAAAGUUUUGUAAAUCAUGUGCUGAUCUUAAAGGCGUCGAAGUUUUUGAUAAAUAAUAAGUUUUCUUUAAUACCAAACCUCUCGACUUUGGUACCUAGUAACAUGUAUGUGUCUGCUAGUACGAAUGUUUGUUGUAUACACUUACAGUCCUUUCAAAGCAUCCGAAAAACAGACCAAUGUGAAAAAUACUCAUUCGAAUUCAAGGACUGUAUAUAUAUUUUAGAUUAUAAAUAAAAUGAAAAAUUCCAAACUGCCGUUUUCUUUCCAAAAUCUGAGGAUGAAAUUGAAAUUAUUGAUCAAGCAAAGAGAGGAUAUAUAGUAGAUGUUGCUGCCAUUGACUCGAACGAGGAUUAUUUGUUUAUAUUAUAAUGUUCUUGAAAGACACAUAUUUUGGAUGUUGAUAGUACGGAUAAAAAUACCCUAAAUUAUUCGCUAACUGUAGUUCGAAAACUAUAGCUGAGUGGCUGUUUCAACGCGAUAUAUAUGCCCAGGCUUAGAUACUUGUGAUGACGGAAUCCUGAGCAUCAUAGAGAAUAAGCAUUUUGCGACAUGCUUGAGCAGUGACAAAUGUUUGAAAUGUAUACUUUUAGUAAGUUAAGAUUAUGAGGAAAUAAAGUUUAUUUGUCAAAAAUAUACAAUCAGUCAUACAGCCCGUAACAGAGAAGUGAUCGAAUUGAUGUUUCUUUACCGUCAAAAUUAGCUACGUUAUCGACAAACUUAAUUGAGUAGUGACCGAACUAUUGGUACUUUAACGUAAAUGAAUGUUUAGAAGAAAAAUGUUUAGUUUACUGAUAUAUUGCUUACCGGUAUAUGUUAAUCGCCA